UAAUUAAUCAAGGUUACUUCUUUCUUCUUGGUUUUAUAGCAUAUUCAACAAGAAAUCUCAAAGGUAAGCCCAUUGAUCUCAUCUUUGAAUGACUGUCACAAAGUGACAGAGUAUGCUGAGAAUUUAUUGGAAAUGUGAGAAUUGUGCAGGCAGAGCCAAGUUAUUAAAGGACAUUGAAUCAAGGUGAGUGGUUAGUAUCCUUUGCUUUUCUGUAUACGUGUUUCCUAAAUGAAGAUACCUUCAUAUAUGGAAGAGAAGUGACAUGUUUUAGGUGAAAACAGAAGCUCAGGCAUCUUAAAGGCAACUUUAUUCUCCUCAAGCUGCUCAUGUACCCUGACUUGUGAGACAUAUCUUUUGGCUUGUGCUUCAGUUACUUUUGCCAGAAAGUCAAGAUAUAAUCAACAAAUCUUUUCUAACAAAACAUUCACAUGUGGAAGGCAUGUCACAUUAGCCAGUUAGUAAUUGAACAAAUUCAUUAAAUUGUCUUAUUAUCGAAAAUAAGCACAGUUAAAU